rnacentral:rRNA from 1 species
AACGAACGCUGGCGGCAGGCCUAACACAUGCAAGUCGAACGCUCCGCAAGGGGAGUGGCGCACGGGUGAGUAACACGUGGGAACCUACCUUCUGGUACGGAACAACCAAGGGAAACUUUGGCUAAGACCGUAUACGACCUCCGGGUGAAAGAUUGAUCGCCGGAAGAGGGGCCCGCGUCCGAUUAGGUAGUUGGUGAGGUAAACGGCUCACCAAAGCCUUCGAUCGGUAGCUGGUCUGAGAGGAU